rnacentral:rRNA from 1 species
GGCGGCCGUAGCGCGGUGGUCCCACCUGACCCCAUGCCGAACUCAGAAGUGAAACGCCGUAGCGCCGAUGGUAGUGUGGGGUCUCCCGAUGCGAGAGUAGGAACUG